rnacentral:rRNA from 1 species
GAAGGGGGCUAGCGUUGCUCGGAAUCACUGGGCGUAAAGGGUGCGUAGGCGGGUCUUUAAGUCAGGGGUGAAAUCCUGGAGCUCAACUCCAGAACUGCCUUUGAUACUGAAGAUCUUGAGUAUGGGAGAGGUGAGUGGAACUGCGAGUGUAGAGGUGAAAUUCGUAGAUAUUCGCAAGAACACCAGUGGCGAAGGCGGCUCACUGGCCCAUAACUGACGCUGAGGCACGAAAGCGUGGGGGGAGCAAACAGGAUUAGAUACCCUGGUAGUCCACGCCCGUAAACGAUGAAUGCCAGCCGUUCGUGGGUUUACUCACAAGUGGCGCAGCUAACGCUUUAAGCAUUCCCGCCUGGGGAGUACGGUCGCAAGAUUA